GAAAAUACUGAUCAUCAGAAAGAAAAGCAUUUCGGGAAACCCAGAGCUGCGUUCCCAGAGUCGAGGCUAGAACCCAGACCCAAGAGAACCAUGAAGGAUAACGGCGGCAGACAAGUCUCCAAACAGAAAUCCAUGGCAACAGAAUGAGAAGCACCACAUGAUUUGGUUCAAAAAAAUCAAGAGCUUAGAGCUUGGGACUGAGUUUCAGACACAAGCAAGCAGAGGGCUGGCCGGUCCUCCUUCCACUUGGAGCGUAUCACAGUUCUGGCCGAGCAGACAGGCUGGACAUCCCUUUUUAGGGGUCACCUGUGACUCUCUCUGUAGCUCUCGAUCAUUCAGCAUCAAUUUUAGCUCCUGGAUUCUGAUUCCUUCUCUCUCUAGGAUACUAUGAGCCAAAUGCUCCCUCGAGGGCCCUGGCCAUUGUUGGAAAUCUCUCUCUCUCUCUCUCUGCCCUUUGAAUUCUGGAGCUAGACGUGCUCCAGCCUGUCUGGAUUUGAUGUGUAAUGUGCUCAUCUCCAUCUGAGUGGGGGAAACAGCUCCUUCGCCCCCUCCUUUCUUCUCUCCUGGGAGAUUGCCUUGGACUCUUAAGAUUGGACCAUUCCUCUGAGGUUGCCCUGGCCUGUUAGAAGGGGCCCCUCCCUCUGAGAGACUUCAGGGGUGUCCAGU
ensembl:lincRNA Gm13564 predicted gene 13564